CUCAGGAUGAACGCUGGCGGCGUGCCUAAUACAUGCAAGUCGAGCGAACAGACGAGGAGCUUGCUCCUCUGACGUUAGCGGCGGACGGGUGAGUAACACGUGGAUAACCUACCUAUAAGACUGGGAUAACUUCGGGAAACCGGAGCUAAUACCGGAUAAUAUAUUGAACCGCAUGGUUCAAUAGUGAAAGACGGUUUUGCUGUCACUUAUAGAUGGAUCCGCGCCGCAUUAGCUAGUUGGUAAGGUAACGGCUUACCAAGGCAACGAUGCGUAGCCGACCUGAGAGGGUGAUCGGCCACACUGGAACUGAGACACGGUCCAGACUCCUACGGGAGGCAGCAGUA
rnacentral:rRNA from 1 species